rnacentral:tRNA from 1 species
GCCGCUGUAGCUCAGCCUGGCCAGAGCGCCGGCCUUGUAAGGCCUUCCCAAGUUAGCCGGCGGUCGCGGGUUCAAAUCCCGCCAGCGGCU